GAUUCGUCACACUAUCAUUAACUGAAUCCAUAGGUUAAUGAGGCGAACCGGGGGAACUGAAACAUCUAAGUACCCCGAGGAAAAGAAAUCAACCGAGAUUCCCCCAGUAGCGGCGAGCGAACGGGGAGGAGCCCAGAGCCUGAAUCAGCAUGUGUGUUAGUGGAAGCGUCUGGAAAGGCGCGCGAUACAGGGUGACAGCCCCGUACACAAAAGCGCAUGUGCUGUGAGCUCGAUGAGUAGGGCGGGACACGUGGUAUCCUGUCUGAAUAUGGGGGGACCAUCCUCCAAGGCUAAAUACUCCUGACUGACCGAUAGUGAACCAGUACCGUGAGGGAAAGGCGAAAAGAACCCCGGCGAGGGGAGUGAAAAAGAACCUGAAACCGUGUACGUACAAGCAGUGGGAGCACCCUUCGGGGUGUGACUGCGUACCUUUUGUAUAAUGGGUCAGCGACUUAUAUUCUGUAGCAAGGUUAACCGUAUAGGGGAGCCGGAGGGAAACCGAGUCUUAAUUGGGCGUUAAGUUGCAGGGUAUAGACCCGAAACCCGGUGAUCUAGCCAUGGGCAGGUUGAAGGUUGGGUAACACUAACUGGAGGACCGAACCGACUAAUGUUGAAAAAUUAGCGGAUGACCUGUGGCUGGGGGUGAAAGGCCAAUCAAACCGGGAGAUAGCUGGUUCUCCCCGAAAGCUAUUUAGGUAGCGCCUCGUGAAUUCAUCUCCGGGGGUAGAGCACUGUUUCGGCUAGGGGGCCAUCCCGGCUUACCAACCCGAUGCAAACUGCGAAUACCGGAGAAUGUUAUCACGGGAGACACACGGCGGGUGCUAACGUCCGUCGUGAAGAGGGAAACAACCCAGACCGCCAGCUAAGGUCCCAAAGUCAUGGUUAAGUGGGAAACGAUGUGGGAAGGCCCAGACAGCCAGGAUGUUGGCUUAGAAGCAGCCAUCAUUUAAAGAAAGCGUAAUAGCUCACUGGUCGAGUCGGCCUGCGCGGAAGAUGUAACGGGGCUAAACCAUGCACCGAAGCUGCGGCAGCGAACGUAUCACCCAAGACAACUUUACGGAGUUGACGAUUGACGGAGCGAAGCGACGUCAAAGCGUUCAUUAAAGUCGAGUUGGCUUAGGGAUACGUUCGUUGGGUAGGGGAGCGUUCUGUAAGCCUGUGAAGGUGUGUCGUGAGGCAUGCUGGAGGUAUCAGAAGUGCGAAUGCUGACAUAAGUAACGAUAAAGCGGGUGAAAAGCCCGCUCGCCGGAAGACCAAGGGUUCCUGUCCAACGUUAAUCGGGGCAGGGUGAGUCGACCCCUAAGGCGAGGCCGAAAGGCGUAGUCGAUGGGAAACGGGUUAAUAUUCCCGUACUUGGUGUUACUGCGAAGGGGGGACGGAGAAGGCUAUGUUGGCCGGGCGACGGUUGUCCCGGUUUAAGCGUGUAGGUGUGUGUUCCAGGUAAAUCCGGUUCACUUUAACACUGAGGCGUGACGACGAGGCACUACGGUGCUGAAGCAACAAAUGCCCUGCUUCCAGGAAAAGCCUCUAAGCAUCAGGUAACAUCAAAUCGUACCCCAAACCGACACAGGUGGUCAGGUAGAGAAUACCAAGGCGCUUGAGAGAACUCGGGUGAAGGAACUAGGCAAAAUGGUGCCGUAACUUCGGGAGAAGGCACGCUGACACGUAGGUGAAGUGAUUUACUCAUGGAGCUGAAGUCAGUCGAAGAUACCAGCUGGCUGCAACUGUUUAUUAAAAACACAGCACUGUGCAAACACGAAAGUGGACGUAUACGGUGUGACGCCUGCCCGGUGCCGGAAGGUUAAUUGAUGGGGUCAGCGCAAGCGAAGCUCCUGAUCGAAGCCCCGGUAAACGGCGGCCGUAACUAUAACGGUCCUAAGGUAGCGAAAUUCCUUGUCGGGUAAGUUCCGACCUGCACGAAUGGCGUAAUGAUGGCCAGGCUGUCUCCACCCGAGACUCAGUGAAAUUGAACUCGCUGUGAAGAUGCAGUGUACCCGCGGCAAGACGGAAAGACCCCGUGAACCUUUACUAUAGCUUGACACUGAACAUUGAGCCUUGAUGUGUAGGAUAGGUGGGAGGCUUUGAAGUGUGGACGCCAGUCUGCAUGGAGCCGACCUUGAAAUACCACCCUUUAAUGUUU
rnacentral:rRNA from 1 species